rnacentral:misc_RNA from 1 species
AACGCAUCUUGCACCCUUUGGUAUUCCGAAGGGUAUGCCUGUUUGAGUGUCUUUAACGAUAUCAACUCCGCCUGUGAGGGUGGAUGUUGGAGCUGAGUGCUGCCGUGAUCGUCUCACCGGCUCACUUGAAAAGCGUUUAAGCCUGGUCUUUGGCGGUCUGAAUCUGUCGGGGUUGGUGUGGUAGAACUCCCACGGGUUGUAAAUCACCUCUCGAUGACGGAUAUUGUGGGGACCCCUGGGGCCAAGUGCUUGAGAUUUGCGUCCACUUUGUGGAACUUCUUGAAUCGGACCUCAAAUCAGGUAGGACUACCCGCUGAACUUAA